rnacentral:rRNA from 1 species
AGAACGAACGCUGGCGGCAGGCUUAACACAUGCAAGUCGAACGAGAUCUUCGGAUCUAGUGGCGGACGGGUGAGUAACGCGUGGGAACGUGCCCUUUGCUACGGAAUAGUCCCUGGAAACGGGGUUUAAUACCGUAUAUUCUCUACGGAGGAAAGAUUUAUCGGCAAAGGAUCGGCCCGCGUUGGAUUAGGUAGUUGGUGGGGUAAUGGCCUACCAAGCCCGCGAUCCAUAGCUGGUUUGAGAGGAUGAUCAGCCACACUGGGACUGAGACACGGCCCAGACUCCUACGGGAGGCAGCAGUGGGGAAUCUUAGACAAUGGGGGAAACCCUGAUCUAGCCAUGCCGCGUGAGCGAUGAAGGCCUUAGGGUUGUAAAGCUCUUUCGCUGGGGAAGAUAAUGACGGUACCCAGUAAAGAAGCCCCGGCUAACUCCGUGCCAGCCGCCGCGGU